rnacentral:rRNA from 1 species
UUGUUGCGGUUGAAAAGCUCGUAGUUGGACUUCUGGCGACUGGAUUUGGUCCGCCACGAGCGAGUACUGAAUCCGGUUGUCGUUUGUGUCGACGAGGUUCUGUCGGACUUCACUGGCUGGCGUACUCCUGUCGACAGGGUUACUUUGAGGAAAUCAGAGUGCUCAAAGCAAGCGCACGCUCGUGACUUCACUAGCAUGGAAUAACACAGAUGGGCUCUUUUUCGCAACGUUGGUCUGCGUCAAUUGAGCAACGAUCGAUAGAGACGGUCGGGGGCAUUCGUAUUGCGCAGUUAGAGGUGAAAUUCUCCGAUCUGCGCAAGACGCACUAAUGCGAAAGCAGUUGCCAAGGACGUCCUCUUAUGAUCAAGAGCGAAAGUCGGGGGAUCAAAGAUGAUUAGAUACCGUCGUAGUCCCGACCAUAAAUGAUGCCGACUGAGCGUCGGCGACUCGGCCAUCGGCCGUACGUCGGCGCUCUUGAGAGAAAUUAAAGUCUUUGGGCUCCGGGGGUAGUAUGGUCGCAAGUCUGAAACUUGAAGGAAUUGACGGAAGGGCACCNNUGCGGCUUAAUUUGACUCAACACGGGAAAGCUUACUAGGUUUGGACACUUGAAUGAGGGACAUAUUGAAGCUCUUACCUUUUUUUGUGGAUGGUGGUGCAUGGUCGUUCUCAGCCCGUGGGUUGACUUGUCAGGUUUACUCCGGUAACGCGCGAGACCUCGGUUUGCUAAAUAGACGCGGCUGUUUCGGCACCCGUGCUCUUCUUAGAGAGAGUCUCGACGAGAGUCGAGGGAAGUCGAGGCAAUAACAGAUCUGUGAUGCCCUUAGUUAUCCUAGGUCGCACGCGCCAAACAAUGUCGCUUACAACGAGUUCCUAGGCCGACAGGUCCGGGCAAUCUUGCAGAGAGCUACGUGACUGGGCUAGACUUUUGUAAUUGUUGGUCUUCAACGAGGAAUGCCUAGUA